rnacentral:rRNA from 1 species
UACGUAGGGGGCAAGCGUUGUCCGGAUUUACUGGGCGUAAAGGGCGCGUAGGCGGCCAUCUAAGUCAGACGUGAAAUCCCUCGGCUCAACCGAGGAACUGCGUCUGAUACUGGAAGGCUUGAAUCCGGGAGAGGGAUGUGGAAUUCCAGGUGUAGCGGUGAAAUGCGUAGAUAUCUGGAGGAACACCGGUGGCGAAGGCGGCAUCCUGGACCGGUAUUGACGCUGAGGCGCGAAAGCGUGGGGAGCAAACAGG